UACAGAGGGUGCAAGCGUUGUUCGGAAUUACUGGGCGUAAAGCGCGUGUAGGCGGUCUGAUAAGUCGGUCGUGAAAGCCCUUGGCUUAACCAAGGAACUGCGAUCGAAACUGCCGGACUAGAGUAUCGGAGGGGGUGGCGGAAUUCCCGGUGUAGAGGUGAAAUUCGUAGAUAUCGGGAGGAACGCCUGUGGCGAAGGCGGCCACCUGGAAGAUUACUGACGCUGAGACGCGAAAGCGUAGGGAGCAAACAGG
rnacentral:rRNA from 1 species